UCAACCUGGGAACUGCGUUNUGAACUGGGUGACUAGAGUGUGUCAGAGGGAGGUAGAAUUCCACGUGUAGCAGUGAAAUGCGUAGAGAUGUGGAGGAAUACCGAUGGCGAAGGCAGCCUCNUGGGAUAACACUGACGUUCAUGCUCGAAAGCGUGGGUAGCAAACAGGAUUAGAUACCCUGGUAGUNCACGCCCUAAACGAUGUCAAUUAGCUGUUGGGCAACUUGAUUGCUUAGUAGCGUAGCUAACGCGUGAAAUUGACCGCCUGGGGAGUACGGUCGCAAGAUUAAAACUCAAAGGAAUUGACGGGGACCCGCACAAGCGGUGGAUGAUGUGGAUUAAUUCGAUGCAACGCGAAGAACCUUACCUGGUCUUGACAUGUACGGAAUCCUCCAGAGACGGAGGAGUGCCUUCGGGAGCCGUAACACAGGUGCUGCAUGGCUGUCGUCAGCUCGUGUCGUGAGAUGUUGGGUUAAGUCCCGCAACGAGCGCAACCCUUGUCAUUAGUUGCCAUCAUUUAGUUGGGCACUCUAAUGAGACUGCCGGUGACAAGCCGGAGGAAGGUGGGGAUGACGUCAAGUCCUCAUGGCCCUUAUGACCAGGGCUUCACACGUCAUACAAUGGUCGGUACAGAGGGUAGCCAAGCCGCGAGGUGGAGCCAAUCUCACAAAACCGAUCGUAGUCCGGAUUGCACUCUGCAACUCGAGU
rnacentral:rRNA from 1 species